CACGCUGUAAACGAUGAGUGCUAGGUGUCGGGGGUCAAACCUCGGUGCCGCCGUUAACACAUUAAGCACUCCGCCUGGGGAGUACGUUCGCAAGAAUGAAACUCAAAGGAAUUGACGGGGACCCGCACAAGCAGCGGAGCAUGUGGUUUAAUUCGAUGCAACGCGAAGAACCUUACCAGGACUUGACAUCCCUCGGACCGAAUUAGAGAUAAUUCUUUCCCUUCGGGGACUGAGGAGACAGGUGG
rnacentral:rRNA from 1 species